AGUUCUCAGGCGAGAGCCGCGGCUGACAGGGUCUGGGACAGAAGGAAAGCCCUCCAGAGACACCGCCUGUUCACAAGAGUUUGAAGAAGUCCACUCUUUUCCUGGCCAGAGCUGGGUGUCAAGACUACCUUUCUGGAGUCCUUAGAGAGACUCCCGGAAGAGUAUCUGAAGUUUCCCAAAGCCUCCAGGCCCUGCCUUCUGCCUGCACAUUCUGCCCUGAUUUCCGGAACCUGGAAGCCUAGGCAGGCAGUGGGGAACUCUGACUCGCCUGUGCUCUGGAGCUUGAUCCGAAAGCUUCCACAGUGAGGACUGCUCCGUGGGGGUAAGAGAGCACCAGGCACUGAGGCCUGGGAGUUCCACAGACCAACACCCCUGCUCCUGGCGGCUCCCACCCGGGACUUAGACCCUCAGGUCCCUAAUAUCCCGGAGGUGCUCUCAAUCAGAAAGGUCCUGCUCCGCUUCGCAGUGGAAUGGAACGGAUUUAGAAGCCUGCAGUAGGGGAGUGGGGAGUGGAGAGAGGGAGCCCAGAGUUACAGACGGCGGCGAGAGGAAGGAGGGGCGUCUUUAUUUUUUUAAGGCCCCAAAGAGUCUGAUGUUUACAAGACCAGAAAUGCCACGGCCGCGUCCUGGCAGAGAAAAGGCUGAAAUGGAGGACCGGCGCCUUCCUUAUAAGUAUGCACAUUGGCGAGAGAAGUGCUGCAACCUAAACCAGCAAUUACACCCAAGCUCGUUGGGGCCUAAGCCAGUACCGACCUGGUAGAAAAAGCAACCACGAAGCUAGAGAGAGAGCCAGAGGAGGGAAGAGAGCGCCAGACGAAGGUGAAAGCGAACCACGCAGAGAAAUGCAGGCAAGGGAGCAAGGCGGCAGUUCCCGGAACAAACGUGGCAGAGGGCAAGACGGGCACUCACAGACAGAGGUUUAUGUAUUUUUAUUUUUUAAAAUCUGAUUUGGUGUUCCAUGAGGAAAAGGGAAAAUCUAGGGAACGGGAGUACAGAGAGAAUAAUCCGGGUCCUAGCUCGCCACAUGAACGCCCAGAGAACGCUGGAAAAACCUGAGCGGGUGCCGGGGCAGCACCCGGCUCGGGUCAGCCACUGCCCCACACCGGGCCCACCAAGCCCCGCCCCUCGCGGCCACCGGGGCUUCCUUGCUCUUCUUAUCAUCUCCAUCUUUAUGAUGAGGCUUGUUAACAAGACCAGAGAGCUGGCCAAGCACCUCUAUCUCAGCCGCGCCCGCUCAGCCGAGCAGCGGUCGGUGGGGGGACUGGGAGGCGCUAAUUAAUUGAUUCCUUUGGACUGUAAAAUAUGGCGGCGUCUACACGGAACCCAUGGACUCAUAAACAAUAUAUCUGUUGGGCGUGAGUGCACUGUCUCUCAAAUAAUUUUUCCAUAGGCAAAUGUCAGAGGGUUCUGGAUUUUUAGUUGCUAAGGAAAGAUCCAAAUGGGACCAAUUUUAGGAGGCCCAAACAGAGUCCGUUCAGUGUCAGAAAAUGCUUCCCCAAAGGGGUUGGGAGUGUGUUUUGUUGGAAAAAAGCUUGGGUUAUAGGAAAGCCUUUCCCUGCUACUUGUGUAGACCCAGCCCAAUUUAAGAAUUACAAGGAAGCGAAGGGGUUGUGUAGGCCGGAAGCCUCUCUGUCCCGGCUGGAUGCAGGGGACUUGAGCUGCUCCGGAAUUUGAGAGGAACAUAGAAGCAAAGGUCCAGCCUUUGCUUCGUGCUGAUUCCUAGACUUAAGAUUCAAAAACAAAUUUUUAAAAGUGAAACCAGCCCUAGCCUUUGGAAGCUCUUGAAGGUUCAGCACCCACCCAGGAAUCCACCUGCCUGUUACACGCCUCUCCAAGACACAGUGGCACCGCUUUUCUAACUGGCAGCACAGAGCAACUCUAUAAUAUGCUUAUAUUAGGUCUAGAAGAAUGCAUCUUGAGACACAUGGGUAACCUAAUUAUAUAAUGCUUGUUCCAUACAGGAGUGAUUAUGCAGUGGGACCCUGCUGCAAACGGGACUUUGCACUCUAAAUAUAGACCCCAGCUUGGGACAAAAGUUGCAGUAGAAAAAUAGACAUAGGAGAACACUUAAAUAAGUGAUGCAUGUAGACACAGAAGGGGUAUUUAAAAGACAGAAAUAAUAGAAGUACAGAAGAACAGAAAAAAAAUCAGCAGAUGGAGAUUACCAUUCCCAAUGCCUGAACUUCCUCCUGCUAUUAAGAUUGCUAGAGAAUUGUGUCUUAAACAGUUCAUGAACCCAGAAGAAUGCAAUUUCAAUGUAUUUAGUACACACACAGUAUGUAUAUAAACACAACUCACAGAAUAUAUUUUCCAUACAUUGGGUAGGUAUGCACUUUGUGUAUAUAUAAUAAUGUAUUUUCCAUGCAGUUUUAAAAUGUAGAUAUAUUAAUAUCUGGAUGCAUUUUCUGUGCACUGGUUUUAUAUGCCUUAUGGAGUAUAUACUCACAUGUAGCUAAAUAGACUCAGGACUGCACAUUCCUUGUGUAGGUUGUGUGUGUGUGGUGGUUUUAUGCAUAAAUAAAGUUUUACAUGUGGUGAA
rnacentral:lncRNA from 1 species